rnacentral:rRNA from 1 species
GAUGAACGCUGGCGGCGUGCCUAAUACAUGCAAGUCGAGCGAACAGACGAGGAGCUUGCUCCUCUGACGUUAGCGGCGGACGGGUGAGUAACACGUGGAUAACCUACCUAUAAGACUGGGAUAACAUCGGGAAACCGGAGCUAAUACCGGAUAAUAUAUUGAACCGCAUGGUUCAAUAGUGAAAGACGGCUUUGCUGACACUAAUAGCUGGAUCCGCGCCGCAUUAGCUAGUUGGUAAGGUAACGGCUUACCAAGGCAACGAUGCGUAGCCGACCUGAGAGGGUGAUCGGCCACACUGGAACUGAGACACGGUCCAGACUCCUACGGGAGGCAGCAGUAGGGAAUCUUCCGCAAAGGGCGAAAGCCUGACGGAGCAACGCCGCGUGAGUGAUGAAGGUCUUCGGAUCGUAAAACUCUGUUAUUAGGGAAGAACAAAUGUGUAAGUAACUAUGCACGUCUUGACGGUACCUAAUCAGAAAGCCACGGCUAACUACGUG